rnacentral:rRNA from 1 species
UACGAAGGGGGCUAGCGUUGCUCGGAAUCACUGGGCGUAAAGCGCACGUAGGCGGAUCUUUAAGUCAGGGGUGAAAUCCUGGAGCUCAACUCCAGAACUGCCUUUGAUACUGGGGAUCUCGAGUCCGGGAGAGGUGAGUGGAACUGCGAGUGUAGAGGUGAAAUUCGUAGAUAUUCGCAAGAACACCAGUGGCGAAGGCGGCGACCUGGGUCGACACUGACGCUGAGGCGCGAAAGCGUGGGAAGCAAACAGG